AUACUUACCUGGCAGGGGAGGUACCAUGAUCACGAAGGCGGUUUCCCAGGGGGAGGCUUAUCCAUUGCUCUCUGGGUGUGCUGACCCCGCGAUUUCUUCAAGUGUGGGAAACUCCACGCAUAACUUGUGGUGGUGGGGACUGCAUUUGCGCUCUCCCCAG